rnacentral:tRNA from 1 species
GUAAGUAUAGUUUAACCAAAACGUUAGAUUGUGAUUCUAAAGACAGGAGUUAAAACCCCCUUACUCACC